CCCUGUGGACUUCUUAAUAUGCCGGUCACAUCUUGUGAAGGAGUCAGUCUGAGACAGGACACAGCAUGGCCAUGAGGGCCCCUGCUAAGCUCCUGGUGCUCCUGCUCCUCUGGCUCCCAGGUGUGAGAUGUGACAUCCAGUUGAUACAGCCUACCUCCUCCCUGUCUGCAUCUCUAGGAGACAGAGUCACCAUCACCUGCAGUGCCAGUCAGAGCAUUGGCAUAGGUUUAGCCUGGUACCAACAGAAACCAGGGCAAGCUCCUAAACUCCUCAUCUAUCAUGCAAACAAUUUGGAAUCUGGGGUUCCCUCAAGGUUCAGUGGCAGUGGAUCUGGCACAGAUUUCACUCUCACCAUCAGCAGCCUGGAGCCUGAAGAUUUUGCCACUUAUUACUGUCAGCAGUAUAAUGGUUCCCCUCCCACAGUAAGACAGGCCAUGACAAAAACCUCCCAGGGAGCAGAAGUGGGAGGCUGGGCUGCCCCAGCUCCUCCUCCUGCUGCCUCCACCUGCUGAGGGCACUACCCAGAG